UUCACUUCCCCUCCUUCCAGCCAGUGGGUGGAACCGAGAGAGAGCCUCUCCAGGGAGCCGCGUACACAGUCCAGAAGGCUGCAGUAUUUCCUCCAAGAAAAAAAAAGAAGAAGAAGAAGGAAGAAGAAGAAGAAGACGACGAAAGAAAAAGGCUGCUGCCACCCCUCUGCUGGCUAUCUGGAAUAGCAGAGUGAGCAGCGUCUGCAGCUGAGUCCCAGGUGGAACCGAACCCCAGCCUGCCCUUGCGGUGCCUGGGUGGGGCAUGGCUCCCAAGCUCCCAAGCGGCCUUCUCCUUUUCAAUCGUCAAGUUCCCAGAGCCAGGAGAAAAGUCAUUGAAGUACUUGGUGAGGACUUGACACGGCUAGCUAAGCUGCUAUCUGCGAGUGAUGCAGUGGGAAUCCAACCGGUCUUCCGGACCAGACAGUCAAGCAUCUUCUGCUUGAGGACACUGUCAUCCCACAUGACCCUCUGAGCUCCUUCAGUGACCAGGACUGCUAAGAGCAGCAUCCGUGACCUCCUCCACCAGUUCUGACCAAGGGCAUUGGUAUUCUCAUAUGAACUUCUGACUCUGGAGAUUCCAGGAAGGAAACACUGUGUUAUUUACAAACAAAAGGCUCAAUAAAUAGCUCGCAGUAGAAGCAAUAGACCACUUAUAUGUAAAGCUCUCAGUAUGAGUCUGUGCUAUCAGCAAUUUCUUCACAAAUUGCUACAUUCCAAAAUGCUAUUCCAUUCCAUUGGAUUGUUGUAAUGUUCUAGGUGUUGAUGGUCAUUAGCCUCAGAAUCCUCAUGACACAUUUAAGGCUUUCCCUAAGUAAAGCAAAGUGGGUCCAUAA